CGCAAGAACAUCUGAGAUCGCCGCAAGAAACAUGUGGAGUGGUGACAAAUGCGGCAUGCGGUGACGUCCCUUCGUUGGAAAGUGUUUUGAGACCGAAAGAAUCGCAGCGUGACGACGAUAAGUUCCCGAGUACGUGGAUUUGUCGUUAGAAAACGCGAAAGAUAUUCUACGAGAAUGCACAAAACCGUGAGCCGAUGGUUUCGGCCGAUGACUGUAUACGAGGUGUUUUAAAUCGUCUGUAAUGUGAAUAAAUGUGUGGUGGGCGCUGUUAAA